rnacentral:lncRNA from 1 species
CAUUGACAAACUCAACUUCCCAGUCCGGUGGCAUUCCCAGUAACUCAGCCGGAAACACAUCCAGAUACUCGCAAACCGCCCGAAUAUUUCCCAAAUCCGGGUGCUCCUUUCAGGCGUCUAUGAUGGUCGCCAAAUAGGCCUUACAACCACCCUUAAUCAUUUUCCUUGCUCUCGCUGCUGACACGGUCGCCACGAAGCGCCUACUUUACACGCCCGGUAUACUAAUU